GACGAACCGUGCGAACGUUGUUCGGAAUCACUGGGCUUAAAGGGCGCGUAGGCGGGCCAUCAAGUCAGGGGUGAAAUCCUCCAGCUCAACUGGAGAACAGCUUUUGAUACUGGUGGCCUCGAGGGGGGUAGGGGCAUGUGGAACUUCCGGUGGAGCGGUGAAAUGCGUAGAUAUCGGAAGGAACGCCGGUGGCGAAAGCGGGUCUCUGGGCCGAUACUGACGCUGAGGAGCGAAAGCAUGGGGAGCGAACAGG
rnacentral:rRNA from 1 species